rnacentral:rRNA from 1 species
UACGUAGGUGGCAAGCGUUGUCCGGAAUUAUUGGGCGUAAAGCGCGCGCAGGCGGUUUCUUAAGUCUGAUGUGAAAGCCCACGGCUCAACCGUGGAGGGUCAUUGGAAACUGGGGAACUUGAGUGCAGAAGAGGAAAGUGGAAGUCCACGUGUAGCGGUGAAAUGCGUAGAGAUGUGGAGGAACACCAGUGGCGAAGGCGACUUUCUGGUCUGUAACUGACGCUGAGGCGCGAAAGCGUGGGGAGCAAACAGG